rnacentral:rRNA from 1 species
UGGGGAAUAUUGGACAAUGGGCGCAAGCCUGAUCCAGCCAUGCCGCGUGAGUGAUGAAGGCCUUAGGGUUGUAAAGCUCUUUCGCCGGUGAAGAUAAUGACGGUAACCGGAGAAGAAGCCCCGGCUAACUUCGUGCCAGCAGCCGCGGUAAUACGAAGGGGGCUAGCGUUGCUCGGAAUCACUGGGCGUAAAGCGCACGUAGGCGGAUCGUUAAGUCAGGGGUGAAAUCCUGGAGCUCAACUCCAGAACUGCCCUUGAUACUGGCGAUCUCGAGUUCGAGAGAGGUUGGUGGAACUCCGAGUGUAGAGGUGAAAUUCGUAGAUAUUCGGAAGAACACCAGUGGCGAAGGCGGCCAACUGGCUCGAUACUGACGCUGAGGUGCGAAAGCGUGGGGAGCAAAACAGGAUUAGAUACCCUGGUAGUCCACGCCGUAAAACGAUGGAUGCUAGCCGUUGGGGGUUUGACCUCUCAGUGGCGCAGCUAACGCCUUAAGCAUCCCGCCUGGGGAGUACGGUCGCAAGAUUAAAACUCAAAUGAAUUGACGGGGUCAUAGCUGUUUCCU